rnacentral:lncRNA from 1 species
UGAGACGCAGGGGCCGCCACAGCACUCGCCCGCCGCUCAGCCUGCCGUCGCUGCCGCAACUACCGCCGCCGUCGGUAUCAACGGGCUCCGCCAACCACACGUGGCAUUGGGUACGAUGUGUCGCAUAAUGGGCAACGACCCGCUGCACCGCGGCUAGCGGUCCAUGGCGGCACGAAACGACCCCUUCGGUAUCGUGCGAUGCGGCCCAGACGGCGAUGCCGUCGCGAGGAUCAAAGGCGCCGGUCCACACACUCUGUACAGACAGUGACACGCAACCGCUGCGGAUAUCGAGGGGUCGGGCCACGCGCCGUGCCGACACCCACCAAGGUUCAUCGGCCCACGCCGAGGGACGCAACCGGUGCACGGGCGUACCUAGAGGCGCGCCCGCGCGUGCCCUGAAUACGCUGCGCCAUAGAUCGGGUUCGCCGCACACACGCUCCAGGCGCCUGGACGCCGCACGCAUGGAUGCCAGCCAGCGCGUUCCCAGGGCGCCCACAAAGUGCGCGAUCUCAAGCAGGCAUUCGUCGGGCAAGUCCAUCAGGCACGCCGGCACCGCCUGUGCCGAGUCUUCUUCCCGCGUCUGUUUUAUGGCCACCAUGAAAGGAUGCCCUUGUGGACGCGUGCGCGCGUCGUACUCUUCUUUUUUCCUUCAUGGUGCACGCGAGAAAAGACAACAUCGGACAUGGACGACGUUGCCAACCACAUCGCACACUCGCCGGCGUGCGUGCUGCAACGGCGUCGCAUGCGCAUCGCGGCGCACACCAAGGAUACGAAAGAGAAAAUAAAAAAAAGAAAGAAAGAAAAGCCGCGCGCAACACAAGACACCCCGCGCCCUUUCUUGUCGCCCCUGUCCGCCAAAAGUAUGUGCUCAGAGCCGUCGAUUGCAUUUAAAAAAAAAUUUUGCAGUGCUUUGGCGCCAGUUUACG